rnacentral:rRNA from 1 species
CCUACGGGUGGCAGCAGUGGGGAAUAUUGGUCAAUGGAGGAAACUCUGACCCAGCAAUGCCGCGUGAAGGAAGAAGGUCUUCUGAGUGUUAAGUUCUUUAGGCAGGGGAGAAUAAAAUGACAGUACCUGAAGAAUAAGCUCUGGCUGACCACGUGCCAGCAGCCGGGGGCAUGCGUAGGGAGCAAGCGAUGUUCGGGAUGAAUGGGCGUAAAGGGUGCGUAGGCGGUUAUACAAGUUAGAAGGGAAAUACCCAGGGCUUAACUCGGGUGCUGCUUCUAAAACUGUAUGCCUUGAGUGCAGUCGAGGAUAGCGGAAUUCAUAGUGUAGCGGUGGAAUGCGUAGAUAUUAGGAGGAACACCAGAGGCGAAGGCGGCUAACUGGACUGCAACUGACGCUGAGGCACGAAAGUGUGGGGAGCAAACAGGAUUAGAUACCCUGGUAGUC